GCCUUUGUGGUGUAACGGCAGCACACUCGGCGGGUAUUCGAGAGGUCCAGAUUCGAAUCCCGACGAGGGUA
rnacentral:tRNA from 1 species